GGGUUGUGAGGUUAAGCGACUAAGCGUACACGGUGGAUGCCCUGGCAGUCAGAGGCGAUGAAGGACGUGCUAAUCUGCGAUAAGCGUCGGUGAGGUGAUAUGAACCGUUAUAACCGGCGAUUUCCGAAUGGGGAAACCCAGUGUGUUUCGACACACUAUCAUUAACUGAAUCCAUAGGUUAAUGAGGCGAACCGGGGGAACUGAAACAUCUAAGUACCCCGAGGAAAAGAAAUCAACCGAGAUUCCCCCAGUAGCGGCGAGCGAACGGGGAGGAGCCCAGAGCCUGAAUCAGUGUGUGUGUUAGUGGAAGCGUCUGGAAAGGCGCGCGAUACAGGGUGACAGCCCCGUACACAAAAAUGCACAUACUGUGAGCUCGAUGAGUAGGGCGGGACACGUGGUAUCCUGUCUGAAUAUGGGGGGACCAUCCUCCAAGGCUAAAUACUCCUGACUGACCGAUAGUGAACCAGUACCGUGAGGGAAAGGCGAAAAGAACCCCGGCGAGGGGAGUGAAAAAGAACCUGAAACCGUGUACGUACAAGCAGUGGGAGCCUCUUAAUGGGGUGACUGCGUACCUUUUGUAUAAUGGGUCAGCGACUUAUAUUCUGUAGCAAGGUUAACCGAAUAGGGGAGCCGAAGGGAAACCGAGUCUUAACUGGGCGUUAAGUUGCAGGGUAUAGACCCGAAACCCGGUGAUCUAGCCAUGGGCAGGUUGAAGGUUGGGUAACACUAACUGGAGGACCGAACCGACUAAUGUUGAAAAAUUAGCGGAUGACUUGUGGCUGGGGGUGAAAGGCCAAUCAAACCGGGAGAUAGCUGGUUCUCCCCGAAAGCUAUUUAGGUAGCGCCUCGUGAAUUCAUCUCCGGGGGUAGAGCACUGUUUCGGCAAGGGGGUCAUCCCGACUUACCAACCCGAUGCAAACUGCGAAUACCGGAGAAUGUUAUCACGGGAGACACACGGCGGGUGCUAACGUCCGUCGUGAAGAGGGAAACAACCCAGACCGCCAGCUAAGGUCCCAAAGUCAUGGUUAAGUGGGAAACGAUGUGGGAAGGCCCAGACAGCCAGGAUGUUGGCUUAGAAGCAGCCAUCAUUUAAAGAAAGCGUAAUAGCUCACUGGUCGAGUCGGCCUGCGCGGAAGAUGUAACGGGGCUAAACCAUGCACCGAAGCUGCGGCAGCGACGCUUAUGCGUUGUUGGGUAGGGGAGCGUUCUGUAAGCCUGUGAAGGUGGCCUGUGAGGGUUGCUGGAGGUAUCAGAAGUGCGAAUGCUGACAUAAGUAACGAUAAAGCGGGUGAAAAGCCCGCUCGCCGGAAGACCAAGGGUUCCUGUCCAACGUUAAUCGGGGCAGGGUGAGUCGACCCCUAAGGCGAGGCCGAAAGGCGUAGUCGAUGGGAAACAGGUUAAUAUUCCUGUACUUGGUGUUACUGCGAAGGGGGGACGGAGAAGGCUAUGUUGGCCGGGCGACGGUUGUCCCGGUUUAAGCGUGUAGGCUGGUUUUCCAGGCAAAUCCGGAAAACCAAGGCUGAGGCGUGAUGACGAGGCACUACGGUGCUGAAGCGACAAAUGCCCUGCUUCCAGGAAAAGCCUCUAAGCAUCAGGUAACAUUAAAUCGUACCCCAAACCGACACAGGUGGUCAGGUAGAGAAUACCAAGGCGCUUGAGAGAACUCGGGUGAAGGAACUAGGCAAAAUGGUGCCGUAACUUCGGGAGAAGGCACGCUGAUAUGUAGGUGAAGCGACUUGCUCGUGGAGCUGAAAUCAGUCGAAGAUACCAGCUGGCUGCAACUGUUUAUUAAAAACACAGCACUGUGCAAACACGAAAGUGGACGUAUACGGUGUGACGCCUGCCCGGUGCCGGAAGGUUAAUUGAUGGGGUUAGCGGCAACGCGAAGCUCUUGAUCGAAGCCCCGGUAAACGGCGGCCGUAACUAUAACGGUCCUAAGGUAGCGAAAUUCCUUGUCGGGUAAGUUCCGACCUGCACGAAUGGCGUAAUGAUGGCCAGGCUGUCUCCACCCGAGACUCAGUGAAAUUGAACUCGCUGUGAAGAUGCAGUGUACCCGCGGCAAGACGGAAAGACCCCGUGAACCUUUACUAUAGCUUGACACUGAACAUUGAGCCUUGAUGUGUAGGAUAGGUGGGAGGCUUUGAAGUGUGGACGCCAGUCUGCAUGGAGCCGACCUUGAAAUACCACCCUUUAAUGUUUGAUGUUCUAACGUGGGCCCGUAAUCCGGGUUGCGGACAGUGUCUGGUGGGUAGUUUGACUGGGGCGGUCUCCUCCUAAAGAGUAACGGAGGAGCACGAAGGUUGGCUAAUCCUGGUCGGACAUCAGGAGGUUAGUGCAAUGGCAUAAGCCAGCUUGACUGCGAGCGUGACGGCGCGAGCAGGUGCGAAAGCAGGUCAUAGUGAUCCGGUGGUUCUGAAUGGAAGGGCCAUCGCUCAACGGAUAAAAGGUACUCCGGGGAUAACAGGCUGAUACCGCCCAAGAGUUCAUAUCGACGGCGGUGUUUGGCACCUCGAUGUCGGCUCAUCACAUCCUGGGGCUGAAGUAGGUCCCAAGGGUAUGGCUGUUCGCCAUUUAAAGUGGUACGCGAGCUGGGUUUAGAACGUCGUGAGACAGUUCGGUCCCUAUCUGCCGUGGGCGCUGGAGAACUGAGGGGGGCUGCUCCUAGUACGAGAGGACCGGAGUGGACGCAUCACUGGUGUUCGGGUUGUCAUGCCAAUGGCACUGCCCGGUAGCUAAAUGCGGAAGAGAUAAGUGCUGAAAGCAUCUAAGCACGAAACUUGCCCCGAGAUGAGUUCUCCCUGACCCUUUAAGGGUCCUGAAGGAACGUUGAAGACGACGACGUUGAUAGGCCGGGUGUGUAAGCGCAGCGAUGCGUUGAGCUAACCGGUACUAAUGAACCGUGAGGCUUAACCUUACAACGCCGAAG
rnacentral:rRNA from 1 species